AACUGCCUUGGAUGGGAAUAACAGCUGGAACAGCUGCUAAUACCGCAUAAUAUGUCUGAACCGCAUGGCUCUGGACAUCAAAGAUUUAUCGCUCUGAGAUGGACUCGCGUCUGAUUAGCUAGUUGGUGGGGCAACGGCCCACCAAGGCGACGAUCAGUAGCCGGACUGAGAGGUUGGCCGGCCACAUUGGGACUGAGACACGGCCCAGACUCCUACGGAAGGCAGCAG
rnacentral:rRNA from 1 species